AAAAGGGCCCUUUUCAGGGCCAUACAGUUUCAAAAAGGAGAAAACG
rfam:Stegodyphus mimosarum contig122839, whole genome shotgun sequence.